UACGGAGGGUGCGAGCGUUUGUCCGGAUUUAUUGGGUUUAAAGGGUGCGUAGGCGGCUCUUUAAGUCUGGGGUGAAAGCCCGUUGCUCAACAACGGAACUGCCCUGGAAACUGAAGAGCUUGAGUACAGACGAGGGUGGCGGAAUGGAUACUGUAGCGGUGAAAUGCAUAGAUAGUAUCCAGAACCCCGAUUGCGAAGCAGCUGCCUAGACUGUAACUGACGUGGAGGCACGAAAAGCGUGGGGGAGCGAACAGGA
rnacentral:rRNA from 1 species